rfam:Nicotiana sylvestris Nsyl_contig126670, whole genome shotgun sequence.
AGGAGCCGUAUGAGGUGAAAAUCUCAUGUAGGGUUCUGCAGAGUGGCAUUAAGGGUGACUUAUCUGUCAACUUUUCCACUAUCACCCCCAAAAAACCAAACUCUACCUUAC